UACGGAGGGUGCAAGCGUUAUCCGGAUUCACUGGGUUUAAAGGGUGCGUAGGCGGGCAGGUAAGUCCGUGGUGAAAUCUCUGAGCUUAACUCAGAAACUGCCAUGGAUACUAUUUGUCUUGAAUGUUGUGGAGGUAAGCGGAAUAUGUCAUGUAGCGGUGAAAUGCUUAGAUAUGACAUAGAACACCAAUUGCGAAAGGCA
rnacentral:rRNA from 1 species